GGGGACGUAGCUCAGUUGGCUAGAGCACCUGCUUUGCAAGCAGGGGGUCGUGGGUUCGAUUCCCAUCGUCUCCACUA
rnacentral:tRNA from 1 species